CUUGACGGAGCCGAGCCACAGCGGGGCAUCGUCGGGCCGGCCCUGCCCGUAGGUGGCCAGCAGCGCUUGGGCCUC
rnacentral:antisense_RNA from 1 species